rnacentral:rRNA from 1 species
UGCCAGCCGCCGCGGUAAUACGGAGGGAGCUAGCGUUGUUCGGAAUUACUGGGCGUAAAGGGUGCGCAGGCGGGCUUGUAAGUCAGUGGUGAAAUCUUGCCGCUUAACGGUAAAAUUGCCAUUGAUACUGCGAGUCUUGAAUAUGGUUGAGGUAGGCGGAAUGUGUUGUGUAGCGGUGAAAUGCAUAGAUAUGACACAGAACGCCGAUUGCGAAGGCAGCUUACUAAGCCAUUAUUGACGCUGAGGCACGAAAGCGUGGGGAGCGAACAGGAUUAGAUA